ensembl:lncRNA
GCAAGCAGCUGCUAGGGUCCCUCGCCUUUGUCCCUCGCCGUCUGACUGCGCUGCAGGGACGGGCAGACAGUGAGGCGAUGGGCGGCCCGCAGCAACUCCAGCGUGGGGUAUCUGAAAGAUACAUUGACUACAUGUAACCUGCUUCUUGAAGAGGAGUUUUCUCAGAAUGUGUUGAACUCAGAAUAUUCUCUUUUAUUAUUUGGGCAUCCGUAAUCCCUUUUUAGCUGCAUUUUUCCUCCCUGUUUGAAAAGAUUCAAGACUGCCUUCAUGGAAAAGCAUCAUCAGCUGGAUUCAGAAUACAGGGAACUAACUCAUGAAUGGACUGGGCCUGCAAAGAGCGUGGCCCUGAAGUUCAAGAAAUUUGGAAACCAGUUUGGCACCAUACGAGCAACUUCUUGUAAAGCAGCUCUGCCAAUUACAUAAAUGCAUGCAGAGGAAGAGGGUCUGGGGAUGAAGUGGUCCAUCUCAGUUCUUGGCUUCUGUGAUGCUUCAUUUUGCAACCUUGAUCAGCAGGGCUUAAGUACUGGUCCUAUAGUAUUUUCAAGUGCAAUUUGGAUAAUGUAAUAAUAAUUUCUGGAUGAAGCUGAGAACAUAAGUUCUGGUGAUGAAUUUUUCAGGGUAGCUGCCAAAGGAGAAGGAAGAUUAAACUGGUCUAUAUUGCAUGCACAAGUUUUUUUCCUUCUUAUAUUACCUUAUAAUAAAAGAAAUUUUGUGAGCUUUUCUGAACCACUGAAAUUAUUUAAGGAAUUUGCCUUUUUUAUGUUAAAAGGUUAUAAAAGCAUUAAAAUCCUAGCAAGUUAUUGCUGAAGUCUAUAAAGGUAUCAGUGAAUCUCAGACCUUGUUAUUUCAGGAUGAUUUUUGCCUUCCAGUCACUCAGAAGGGUGGAAGGGAGGUUCUCAGGACCCCCAAGCAUCUGUCUUUUUUAAAAUUAGUCUCAAGAAUGAUGCACAUUGGCUACAUGCUGCAUGUUUAAGCAGAAGACUCAGAAAUACAUUAGGACAAAUAGGGAGAGAAAAGCCAUGUCUGGAAACUGUGGAAAAGUAACUGUGUUCAGUUCAGUACACAGAAUGCAAUUUAUGUGGCUCCAGGGAAAUAGAUGGAUUCGCAUCUCAGGUUAAGAAAGUUUUGUCUUGAGGUAAAUCAUACAGUAAAUUAACAUCAGCCAUGCUCUCUUAAGAGUAUUUCAUUUAAAGAAUUUAAAACCGGAAUGGCAUAAGUAGGAGUCUGACUUCCUUUUGAGAUAAAAUGGAGCUGUAAUUCUGGGGUGAAAUGGGUAUCUAAUCAUCCAGUCAUUCAUACAAUUAAUCUUUAGUUGAUCUAUAUAGGUAAAGGGAGUCUGAUAGUGUGACCCUGCAGUGCUUAAAUACCAUUUUAAUUACGUGUGGCUGCAGGUCCACUCUCCCUGACAAAUGUUCUUUUUGGCUUUGAUGUGUGUGCAACUCUAGGGUGAGCUGGCUUAGCUGAUGUAUAUCAAGACUUGUGGUUUUUCCAUUAGAGGCUAGUUUUAGCCGAUCAGCUUGGAGCUGCUUAUUGCUCAGUCACACAGAUGUCACUUCCAGUCUGAGUUUUAACUUGACUAUUAUGAAAAUGCACCCUACUGUUUCCUCU